AAAAACUUUUGGUUUUAAAAAAGCAUACACAGUUAUUACUGAGGACUAAGUGCUGUAGUAGUUACUGUUUUUUAAUUUGAUACAGGCAAAAAUAUUCCUCCCCUAGAAGAAAAAGUAAUGGGAAAUUUUGAUCUGUAGAUGUGUGUAUUAAUAUUACAGGCCCAACUGAAGCUGAUCCCUGUGUAGACAGACAGUACAUCAAAUUUUCUGCUCAGUAUCUCAUUCUGGAAACUAUUGAGACUACUCACAAAAGUAAAGGGCUAAUUUUGUUGAAGGAUCAAAACUUUGAUGUAUAAAUUACAUGUAUUUUAAUUUAUGUCUCAUUUAGAAAUGGCAUACUUAGCCAAACCUCUGUUCUGAGGGUUUCUGCUUCUAUUCCUCUUAUUCCUAUCCACCUCCUGCCCAGGAAGCCUAACAGAAAGGUCAUCCAUCAGCCAGGAUGUGGGCUUUACACCCCAAUUAAGGUGUUAAUGAAGCAUUUUAUGCUGCCAGAUGUUGCCUGAGCAUCCAUUCCUGAAAUCCUGAGCAUGCCAUGAGCAGGGCAGCUACCCCAGAGGUGCUUGGCACGAAAUCUGAAUUAGACUCUCAACGUGCUGAAAAACCCCACGCAGUCAAAGCAGAGCAGUGAGGAUUUAAAUGAGGCAGACUGGAUCCUGCACAUCUUCAGAAGUUCUUCUGUUGAAUACAAAGGAGAAAAAAUAAAAUUAUGGUUGGCAGAGUGAACCA
rnacentral:lncRNA from 1 species